AUUGAACGCUGGCGGCAUGCCUUACACAUGCAAGUCGAACGGCAGCACGGGAGCAAUCCUGGUGGCGAGUGGCGAACGGGUGAGUAAUAUAUCGGAACGUGCCCAGUCGUGGGGAUAACGUAGCGAAAGCUACGCUAAUACCGCAUACGAUCUAUGGAUGAAAGCGGGGGAUCGCAAGACCUCGCGCGAUUGGAGCGGCCGAUAUCAGAUUAGGUAGUUGGUGAGGUAAAGGCUCACCAAGCCGACGAUCUGUAGCUGGUCUGAGAGGACGACCAGCCACACUGGGACUGAGACACGGCCCAGACUCCUACGGGAGGCAGCAGUGGGGAAUUUUGGACAAUGGGCGCAAGCCUGAUCCAGCAAUGCCGCGUGCAGGAUGAAA
rnacentral:rRNA from 1 species